rnacentral:rRNA from 1 species
GGGCCCGCACAAGCAGUGGAGUAUGUGGUUUAAUUCGAAGCAACGCGAAGAACCUUACCAGGUCUUGACAUCCAUAUAAUUUUCUAGAGAUAGAGAAGUGCCCUUCGGGGAAAUAUGAGACAGGUGGUGCAUGGUUGUCGUCAGCUCGUGUCGUGAGAUGUUGGGUUAAGUCCCGCAACGAGCGCAACCCUUGUCAUUAGUUGCUACGCAAGAGCACUCUAAUGAGACUGCCGUUGACAAAACGGAGGAAGGUGGGGACGACGUCAAAUCAUCAUGCCCCUUAUGACCUGGGCUACACACGUACUACAAUGGCCGUCAACAGAGAGAAGCAAAGCCGCGAGGCGGAGCAAAACUCCAAAAACGGUCCCAGUUCGGAUCGCAGGCUGCAACCCGCCUGCGUGAAGUCGGAAUUGCUAGUAAUCGCGGAUCAGCAUGCCGCGGUGAAUACGUUCCCGGGCCUU